AGGAGUGGUCUCUAUAGACGAGUGUUUUCACUAGAGCCUGGAGGAGGCUAGGAGUGGUCUCUAUAGACGAGUGUUUUCACUAGAGCCUGGAGGAGGCUAGGAGUGGUCUCUAUAGACGAGUGUUUUCACUAGAGCCUGGAGGAUGCUAGGAGUGGUCUCUAUAGACGAGUGUUUUCACUAGAGCCUGGAGGAGGCCAGGAGUAGUCUCUAUAGACGAGUGUUUUCACUAGAGCCUGGAGGAGGCCAGGAGUGGUCUCUAUAGACAAGUGUUUGUCAAGUGUUUGUGCUUCUACACCUGCAUUGCUUGCUGUUUGGGGUUUUAGGCUGGGUUUCUGUACAGCACUUU
ensembl:lncRNA